AACAUAUCAAAUGAUAUCGUGCAAGUAGCAGUUGCUGGUACAAUAGGCGGUUCUAAUUUCUCACAUGCCAGCAACGCAUGUCGAAUGGAGGAUGUGCAUGCGUGGGGAGCGUGCUUUGUGAUCGCCGGACGAUGGUCAACUGCUUUGGAGCUUAGAACACUCACAAGUCACAACAACGGUGCUAUACUGAGAUCAGCGAUGCGCUUCAUUUUGGAAUAUAUGUUAGGAAUUCUAAAAUUAAUCAUAUUACUUUGUAAAGAAACUAAAACACUUAUUUUUUAAAGAAUUCUUAAUAUUAAGUUUUUUCCGGAAACGCACUAUUUUUGUCGGCAAAUAUAUGGAUUGUAUUUUUGGGUCAUUUACAUAAAAUGCGUAUAAAAUAUCUAAAUGUAUAUGAAGACUUACAAUUUAUGGUGUCAUUAACUUAAUAUUCAACAUAACGAUCAAUACCAUAAAUAUUUUCACCGUGAAAGUUAACAUUUGUGUUUAGACACUUCGAAGCGAGUUUAGGUUGUGAAAGUGCAAAAUAUGAAUUAACAUUUUUAACGUAAUGAAUAUUUUUGCACUACAAUAUCACUAAUUUAUAUCUUAAUUGCGGUACUUUUGAGUAAUUGUUCACAGAAAUGUUCAUUAUGUAUGUGCAAAUAUAUACUAAUUCAUAACAUAUUUCAAAGUAUGUGUCACUUUACGUAAACGUAUAAUAUAGAGUUAAGAAAAUAUUCAAAUGUUUUACGACCCGAUAUAUAUGCUUCAAACGG